CGCGGCGAUCCGGGUGGCCCCGGGCUUCAGCUCAUACCUGACGGUGUUGCGGGUUCGACUCCCGCCGUCGCGUC
rnacentral:tRNA from 1 species